rnacentral:rRNA from 1 species
CUCAGGACGAACGCUGGCGGCGUGCUUAACACAUGCAAGUCGAACGAUGAAGCACCAGCUUGCUGGUGUGGAUUAGUGGCGAACGGGUGAGUAACACGUGAGUAACCUGCCCCUCACUCUGGGAUAAGCCUGGGAAACUGGGUCUAAUACUGGAUACGACCGAUCUCCGCAUGGAGUGUUGGUGGAAAGUUUUUGUGGUGGGGGAUGGACUCGCGGCCUAUCAGCUUGUUGGUGGGGUAAUGGCCUACCAAGGCGACGACGGGUAGCCGGCCUGAGAGGGCGACCGGCCACACUGGGACUGAGACACGGCCCAGACUCCUACGGGAGGCAGCAGUGGGGAAUAUUGCACAAUGGGCGAAAGCCUGAUGCAGCGACGCCGCGUGAGGGAUGACGGCCUUCGGGUUGUAAACCUCUUUCACCAGGGACGAAGCUAACGUGACGGUACCUGGAGAAGAAGCACCGGCUAACUACGUGCCAGCAGCCGCGGUAAUACGUAGGGUGCGAGCGUUGUCCGGAAUUAUUGGGCGUAAAGAGCUUGUAGGCGGUUUGUCGCGUCUGCUGUGAAAGACCGGGGCUUAACUCCGGUUCUGCAGUGGGUACGGGCAGACUAGAGUGUGGUAGGGGAGACUGGAAUUCCUGGUGUAGCGGUGAAAUGCGCAGAUAUCAGGAGGAACACCGAUGGCGAAGGCAGGUCUCUGGGCCAUUACUGACGCUGAGAAGCGAAAGCAUGGGGAGCGAACAGGAUUAGAUACCCUGGUAGUCCAUGCCGUAAACGUUGGGCGCUAGGUGUGGGACUCAUUCCACGAGUUCCGUGCCGCAGCUAACGCAUUAAGCGCCCCGCCUGGGGAGUACGGCCGCAAGGCUAAAACUCAAAGGAAUUGACGGGGGCCCGCACAAGCGGCGGAGCAUGCGGAUUAAUUCGAUGCAACGCGAAGAACCUUACCAAGGCUUGACAUACACCGGAAUCAUGCAGAGAUGUGUGCGUCUUCGGACUGGUGUACAGGUGGUGCAUGGUUGUCGUCAGCUCGUGUCGUGAGAUGUUGGGUUAAGUCCCGCAACGAGCGCAACCCUCGUUCCAUGUUGCCAGCACUUCAAGGGGGGGA